AGGUGAUUUUCUUCCACCCCCACCUCCACCUCUAGAUGAUUCCAGUGCCCUUCCAUCUAUCUCUGGAAACUUUCCUCCUCCACCGCCUCUUGAUGAAGAGGCUUUCAAAGUACAGGGGAAUCCCAGAGGCAAGACACUUGAGGAGAGGCGCUCCAGCCUGGACGCUGAGAUUGACUCCUUGACCAGCAUCUUGGCUGACCUUGAGUGCAGCUCCCCCUAUAAGCCUCGGCCUCCACAGAGGAAAGCAGCUAAACAGGAUGUUGGCUGGUAACACCAGCAAAGUGGAAUCAACCUCAAAGGAGAUGGUGUCAGAGUGGUGUUCAAUGCCUGAGCUUCUACUGAGUGAGUCACUUGUGUGAAAAUGUCUUGACACAGAUAGAAUUGAGGUGCCCACACUAUAUCUGAUCACAGAAAUGUUAAUGCAGAAUAGCAAACUGGCUUUCAUCUUCAUGGGAUUGCAGGCUGGGGGAUAAAAGGGGUGCAUUUUUAAAGGUCAUCUCUAUUGCUUAUGAGAAAACAAUGUAUCACAUCCCAUGCAUCUGUGAGACUGUAUAUCAAGAAUCAGAAAUAAAUACAU
rnacentral:sRNA from 1 species